rnacentral:lncRNA from 1 species
AGCGUACUGUAAGUCGGGUUAAUAACACUUGUGGAUAUUUUGUCUCCGAUUACCAGCGACAUAAGGACAAAAUCAGCGGACAACAGGCCUCAGUUGCAGCCAGGAUGUCAGAACGUCUUCCACAGGACUGUUGUACGUAGUCCCUACUAAUGAUGUAAAAGAUACUGUCUCGAAUCCUUGUCCUUGGUCUCAUCAGCCAUGCCAUCACCAUCAUGAAGGUCAGGUAGAGUUUCAAGCCACACAAGACGGUCACGCAGAGCUGGGGACAUGCGGAGCUGGGGACACGCGGAGCUGGGGACACGCGGAGCUGGGGACACGCGGAUCUGGGGACACGCGGAGCAAGGGACUCGCAGAGCUAAGGACACGGGAGAUUAAGAUGAACAAAAAAAUACUGAUGGAAGGAAAUACAAUGAUUUUGAUAGUAAUGAAUUGUACUUAAAUAUUUGAAUGAAGCUGCAUAGUGAUAACCAGACAGUUAGAACAUGUCAGGAUGUUCCCCUGCCAUGGAGCAGCACAACUACAACCUCUACACACCUCCCAGAGUUUUCAGCAGCCAGGUUGAGCCAUUCUGGAUGUGUGUAGGGUGGUAGGUUCUGAUCAGGUUGCUAAGGUACUUUAGAUCAGAGCCCUGGGUUUUCGUGGACAAGUUGACUUAACUGUGGGGAUGGAUUUGCAGGCAAUACGAGAGCAGAUCGGAUCAGUCAGUGGAGGGGAAAAUGGAGUGAUGUGAUCAUGAGAAGAGGUGUGAGUAAGCAUCCCAGUUUGGGACUUUCUGAAGCAUGUUAAAGUACUUAGCAGAAACCCACUGCUGUAUAUAACAUGAAGGACAUUGCAAUAGACUAGUCUUAAAGUGGAACUGACAGCCUUUUAGCAACAUGAAAUCUUGACACUGCAGUAAAUAAAACCUAAUAAAUACGUGUCAGUCUUGUCCAGGAACAGAGUCUACGCAGACCAGUGUGCUAUAGACAAUCAGAGCUACAGUAGGCCUAUAUGCAAAUAAGCCAUUUGCCACACAGGCCUGCCAUCAUAAACUUUGAACUGGACUGUUUGUUUACAGGCUGUAGCAACAGUGCGACUUUAGACCAUU